rnacentral:rRNA from 1 species
UGGGUCAGCGGUGAGGGUGGUGGAGCUUCAGCGGCGGUUGGAGGUCGGGUAGGUCGACGACAGGGGUGGUGGCGCUCCGACGGCGGUUGGUGGUCGGGUGGGUCGGCGGCGGGGGUGGUGGUGCUCCGUCGGCAGUUGGAGGUCGGGUGGCGGCGGGGGACGAGGCGUGACGGCGACGGCCACGUGCGGUGGGAGGGAGCGGGAGAUAGGUGAGGAUUGGAUCAGGGAAGUUGGGGAUCGGGGGUGGACGAGAGGGAGGUGGUGGGUGGGCUUUUUUCUUCCGGGUUCGGGAAUUCGGAAACAUCUGAUCGCCG